rnacentral:rRNA from 1 species
GUUCGGAAUUACUGGGCGUAAAGGGCGAGUAGGCGGCCGCCUAAGUCAGACGUGAAAUCCCUCGGCUCAACCGGGGAACUGCGUCUGAUACUGGGUGGCUUGAAUCCGGGAGAGGGAUGCGGAAUUCCAGGUGUAGCGGUGAAAUGCGUAGAUAUCUGGAGGAACACCGGUGGCGAAGGCGGCAUCCUGGACCGGCAUUGACGCUGAGGCGCGAAAGCCAGGGGAGCAAACGGG